GUAUAUAUUAUAUAGGCACAACAUUCUAUUGACAUACAUUGGAGUAAAUGAAGCAACAUAGACCUGAAAGGGUCUACAAAGAGUGCACAGGUGGAGAUAUAAAGAUGACAAGGCGUGCACAUGCUCCCUAGAGAACCAGCAACAACCCAUCAGGUUUAUUUCAAUAAUGAUCCUUCCGCAGGUUCACCUACGGAAA
rnacentral:misc_RNA from 1 species